rnacentral:rRNA from 1 species
UACGAAGGGGGCUAGCGUUGCUCGGAAUUACUGGGCGUAAAGGGCGCGUAGGCGGACAGUUUAGUCAGAGGUGAAAGCCCAGGGCUCAACCCUGGAAUUGCCUUUGAUACUGACUGUCUUGAGUACGGGAGAGGUGUGUGGAACUCCGAGUGUAGAGGUGAAAUUCGUAGAUAUUCGGAAGAACACCAGUGGCGAAGGCGACACACUGGCCCGUUACUGACGCUCAUGCACGACAGCGUGGGGAUCAAACAGG